rnacentral:rRNA from 1 species
UACAGGGGGGGCAAGCGUUGUUCGGAAUUACUGGGCGUAAAGGGUCUGUAGGUGGCUCGCUAAGUCAGACGUGAAAUCCCUCAGCUUAACUGGGGAACUGCGUCUGAUACUGGCGAGCUUGAGUGCAGGAGAGGAACGCGGAAUUCCAGGUGUAGCGGUGAAAUGCGUAGAUAUCGCUUGGAACGCCGAAGGUGAAAACAGGCUGCUGGGGUUGUGCCGACGCUGAGACACGAAAGCCAGGGGAGCAAACGGG